AUCUUUAUACAUAAAGUUUGUGUGGUGCAUCGAUAUUUGCAUGUAAAGUUGUUUGGGCCACAUAAAUUUUGCACUUAGUAAAACUGUCGGCUCGGCCUCCAUCCCCUUCAUUCUGUCCUAGCACUGCCGCGGACCUCCCCGACCACGCGCAUCCCUAACGCCACGAACCGCCGGUGCCGCAGCCUAGCGCCGCCGCGAAGCUCCCCGACCACGCGCAUCUCCCUCGCCGCCACGAGCACAUCGGCCGGCGCCAUCCCAGCCGCCACAACCCAGAGGCCAGAUCCCACUCACCGCCGCAAGCUCCUCAUCGACCACCCCAUCGUCCUCGUCGGCUGCCGCAAGCUCCUCGUCGACCAACCCGUCCCCGUCGUCGUCGUCUCCUCGACGCUCGACGGGGUGCCUCUCCUCUCGACCCCGACCCCAAGCCCGAAGGACCCCAGGUGCCGUACGUCGGUAAUAAGAGAUGACGUACUACGUGGUGUUCGAGGGUCGGGUUCCAGGAGUCUACGAGGAGUGGGAGAACUGUAAGAAAUAGGUGCACAAGUUCAACGGCAAUAGCGACUAGACAUAAGGCGGUUGUCAAGUGGAGGAACCACCAGUCGAACAAGAACAAGAUGAAGACAUUCGUCGUGCUCCCGCUCUUGCUCACCAUCAUCGCGGAUGUACUCUAUUUCAUCCUAGUGUAGGCGGCGGUCGGUGACCACUUCAUUAGUAACUUGAGAUGAUGAACUUUGUACCAAUUAAGACUGUUGUAAAAAUUUGACACUUGCCACUAUAUGUAUCAUGCUCUAAGUAAUGUGAUGACAUGUUUUCAUA